rnacentral:misc_RNA from 1 species
GGAAGUAAAAGCGUAACAAGGUUUCCGUAGGUGAACCUGCGGAAGGAUCAUUAUUGGAUUUUGAAACUUCAGGCUGCUGCUGGCUCUCCUCGGAGGGCAUGUGCACGCUUGUUGUCCAUUAUUUCUCCCACUGUGCACAAAUUGUAGACCUUUCAGUAGGUCUAUGUUGUUUUUCACAAUCUCUGAAUGUAAUAGAAUGGUUUUGAAUCUUGGGAAAUACAAUACAACUUUCAGCAACGGAUCUCUUGGCUCUC